rnacentral:sRNA from 2 species
CCGGGACACCGACCAGACCCUUGGGCAGGGGCGGGGGACCCAGGUAAGUCGCCGUCCCCCACGGCUUGGGGUGAAGCCGCCAGCAGUGGCGGCCGGGCCACCUCCCGGUCCGAACCCGACAGCUCACCUCGCAGGCGUGCGGAGAGGGACU